UGAUUAUGUUGAUAAUGUUGUACUAUAAAUAAGCGACUGCACAAUUAUUUGCCACUAAUAAUCGAAAAAUGAAACUCUACGUGUAUUUACUUCUCGUCACACUUGUGACCUAUUCCUUGGGACUAAAUGAUGCUCAAAUAAAUGAAAGUCAACACGCAACCAAAAAAUGUGAAAAGGAGAAUCCAGAUGUUGAUACAAAAGAAAUAGACAAGUUGCUUCACAAGUCGGACGACAUUUCAAAAGAGAAAUCUGACGACGCCUUUAAAAGAUACAUGGUUUGCAUACACAAAGAGAUGAAAUGGUUAAAACCCGAUGGUACUUACGACACCGAUCGUCUAAAAAAGUGGAUUAAAAUGGGAGGUCAAAGUGACGAAGAGGCAGAUGAAAUUAUUAAAGAAUGCAUCGUAUAUAAGGGCUCGGAGAUCGAAACAGUAUGGGGUGUUUCCCAGUGUUUGUAUAAACAUAAUGCUUGAACUGUAUUGGAAUAUAAAGUAUAUAAAUUUCCAAUAAAUUGUUACUUAAAUUAUA